CAUAUCUGUAUACAGUGUACAUGGGGGUCACACAUCUGUAUAUACAAUGUACAGGGGGUCACACAUCUGUAUAUACAGUAUAAAGGGGGUCUCACAUCUCUGUAUAUAGUGUAGAGGGGGGUCACACAUCUCUAUAUACAGUAUACAGUGGGUCACACAUCUCUAUAUACAGUAUACAGUGGGUCACACAUCUCUAUAUACA